CGCUCGGAAACGGACGCUAAUACCGCAUACGUCCUACGGGAGAAAGCAGGGGACCUUCGGNCCUUGCGCUAUCAGAUGAGCCUAGGUCGGAUUAGCUAGUUGGUGAGGUAAUGGCUCACCAAGGCGACGAUCCGUAACUGGUCUGAGAGGAUGAUCAGUCACACUGGAACUGAGACACGGUCCAGACUCCUACGGGAGGCAGCAGUGGGGAAUAUUGGACAAUGGGCGAAAGCCUGAUCCAGCCAUGCCGCGUGUGUGAAGAAGGUCUUCGGAUUGUAAAGCACUUUAAGUUGGGAGGAAGGGCAGUUACCUAAUACGUGAUUGAAAAAGACGUUACCGACAGAAUAAGCACCGGCUAACUCUGUGCCAGCAGCCGCGGUAAUACAGAGGGUGCAAGCGUUAAUCGGAAUUACUGGGCGUAAAGCGCGCGUAGGUGGUUUGUUAAGUUGAAUGUGAAAUCCCCGGGCUCAACCUGGGAACUGCAUCCAAAACUGGCAAGCUAGAGUAUGGUAGAGGGUGGUGGAAUUUCCUGUGUAGCGGUGAAAUGCGUAGAUAUAGGAAGGAACACCAGUGGCGAAGGCGACCACCUGGACUGAUACUGACACUGAGGUGCGAAAGCGU
rnacentral:rRNA from 1 species